rnacentral:rRNA from 1 species
UACGGAGGGGGCGAGCGUUAUUCGGAAUUAUUGGGCGUAAAGGGCGCGUAGGCGGCCAAGUAAGUCAAAGGUGAAAUCCCUCGGCUCAACCGAGGAAUUGCCUUUGAAACUGCGUGGCUUGAGGCCGGGAGGGGGUAGCGGAAUUCCCAGUGUAGCGGUGAAAUGCGUAGAUACUGGGAGGAACACCAGUGGCGAAGGCGGCUACCUGGACCGGUUCUGACGCUGAUGCGCGAAAGCGUGGGGAGCAAACAGG